rnacentral:rRNA from 1 species
UACGUAGGCAGCAAGCGUUGUUCGGAGUUACUGGGCGUAAAGAGUGCGUAGGCGGUUUCGUAAGUUUGGUGUGAAAUCUCCCGGCUUAACUGGGAGGGUGCGCCGAAAACUGCGGGGCUGGAGUAGGGGAGAGGUAAGCGGAAUUCCUGGUGUAGCGGUGAAAUGCGUAGAUAUCGGGAGGAACACCUGUGGCGAAAGCGGCUCACUGGACCACAACCGACGCUGAUGCACGAAAGCUAGGGGAGCAAACAGG